CGCGGGGUGGAGCAGUCUGGUAGCUCGUUGGGCUCAUAACCCAAAGGUCGUGGGUUCGAAUCCCUCCCCCGCUACUA
rnacentral:tRNA from 1 species